CAGUAGCCACGGUAAGACGUAGGGUGCAAGCGUUGUCCGGAUUUAUUGGGCGUAAAGAGUUCGUAGGCGGUUGCCUAAGUCUGAUGUUAAAGCCCGGAGCUCAACUCCGGUAUGGCAUUGGAAACUGGGCAGCUUGAGUAUGAUAGAGGUUACGGGAAUUCCUGGUGUAGCGGUGAAAUGCGUAGAUAUCAGGAGGAACACCGGUGGCGAAAGCGCGUAACUGGGUCAUAACUGACGCUGAGGAACGAAAGCCAGGGUAGCAAAAAGGAUUAGAUACCCCCGUAGUCCCUGUCUCUUAUAC
rnacentral:rRNA from 1 species